rnacentral:ncRNA from 1 species
GAGAGCCGGAUACCUUGAGAGGGGUAUGUCCGGUUCGGGAAGGGGCUUUCAGGAAACCUGCCGCUUUUACGCGGUAAGGCGCCGGGAGCCUACUUCAAC